CCUGGCUCAGAUUGAACGCUGGCGGCAUGCUUACACAUGCAAGUCGAACGGUAACAGGCCUUCGGGUGCUGACGAGUGGCGAACGGGUGAGUAAUGCAUCGGAACGUGCCCAAUCGUGGGGGAUAACGUAGCGAAAGUUACGCUAAUACCGCAUAAGCCCUGAGGGGGAAAGCAGGGGAUCGCAAGACCUUGCGCUGAUUGAGCGGCCGAUAUCAGAUUAGCUAGUUGGUGAGGUAAAGGCUCACCAAGGCGACGAUCUGUAGCGGGUCUGAGAGGAUGAUCCGCCACACUGGAACUGAGACACGGUCCAGACUCCUACGGGAGGCAGCAGUGGGGAAUAUUGGACAAUGGGCGCAAGCCUGAUCCAGCAAUGCCGCGUGUGUGAAGAAGGCCUGCGGGUUGUAAAGCACUUUCAGUGGGGAAGAACAGAUUCGGGUCAAUACCCCGGAGCCCUGACGUUACCCACAGAAGAAGCACCGGCUAACUCCGUG
rnacentral:rRNA from 1 species